rnacentral:rRNA from 1 species
GACAGAGGGUGCAAACGUUGUUCGGAAUUACUGGGCGUAAAGCGCGUGUAGGCGGCCCUGCAAGUCGGGUGUGAAAUCCCAUGGCUCAACUAUGGAAGUGCACUCGAAACUGCAUAGCUAGAGUCCUGGAGAGGAAGGUGGAAUGCUUGGUGUAGAGGUGAAAUUCGUAGAUAUCAAGCGGAACACCGGUGGCGAAGGCGGCCUUCUGGACAGUGACUGACGCUGAGACGGCGAAAAGCGUGGGGAGCAAACAGGG